UACCAGCACCCCGAGUGGUCGGGACGUUUAUUGGGCCUAAAGCAUCCGUAGCCGGUUCUACAAGUCUUCCGUUAAAUCCAACUGCUUAACAGGUGGGCUGCGGAAGAUACUAUAGAGCUAGGAGGCGGGAGAGGCAAGCGGUACUCGAUGGGUAGGGGUAAAAUCCGUUGAUCCAUUGAAGACCACCAGUGGCGAAGGCGGCUUGCCAGAACGCGCUCGACGGUGAGGGAUGAAAGCUGGGGGAGCA
rnacentral:rRNA from 1 species